ensembl:snRNA U6 U6 spliceosomal RNA
GUGCUUGCUUUGGCAGCACAUACGCUACUUGGACAAUACAGAGAAACUAAGCGUGGUCCCUGUCCAAGGAAGACAGGCAAAUUCAUAAAGCCUUAAGUAUUUUU